ACAUACGACCACAGGCAGUGGAAAAUACUGGAUCCCGUCUGCUCUCCACACGUCAAGCCACUGACCGGCAGAUUAGUAGUUGAGUCGGUGACGAUCAGCGAACACCGGCUGUUGUAUGUU
rfam:Drechmeria coniospora strain ARSEF 6962 chromosome 02, whole genome shotgun sequence.